UACGGGGGGGGCAAGCGUUGUUCGGAACUACUGGGCGUAAAGGGUUUGUAGGUGGCUCGCUAAGUCAGACGUGAAAUCCCUCAGCUUAACUGGGGAACUGCGUCUGAGACUGGCAAGCUUGAGUGCAGGAGAGGAACGCGGAAUUCCAGGUGUAGCGGUGAAAUGCGUAGAUAUCUGGAGGAACACCGGUGGCGAAGGCGGCGUUCUGGACUGUAACUGACACUGAGGAACGAAAGCCAGGGGAGCAAACGGG
rnacentral:rRNA from 1 species